UACGGAGGGUGCAAGCGUUAUCCGGAUUCACUGGGUUUAAAGGGUGCGUAGGUGGGCAGGUAAGUCAGUGGUGAAAUCUCCGGGCUUAACCCGGAAACUGCCAUUGAUACUAUCUGUCUUGAAUACCGUGGAGGUGAGCGGAAUAUGUCAUGUAGCGGUGAAAUGCUUAGAUAUGACAUAGAACACCAAUUGCGAAGGCAGCUCACUAACGCGAAUAUUGACACUGAG
rnacentral:rRNA from 1 species